GGGAAUGUAGCUCAAGGGUAGAGCGCCCGUCUCCAAAACGGGAAAUGAGGGUUCAAGUCCCUCCAUUCUCA
rnacentral:tRNA from 1 species